rnacentral:rRNA from 1 species
GCCUAACACAUGCAAGUCGAGCGGCAGCAUGCUUAGUAGCAAUACUAAGUGAUGGCGAGCGGCGGACGGGUGAGGAACACGUAGGAACCUGCCCAAGAGAGGGGGACAACCAAUGGAAACGUUGGCUAAUACCGCAUAAUCUCUUAGGAGAAAAGUUGCCCGUAAGGGUAGCGCUUUUGGAGGGGCCUGCGUCCGAUUAGCUAGUUGGUGAGGUAAUAGCUCACCAAGGCUGUGAUCGGUAACUGGUCUGAGAGGACGACCAGUCACACUGGGACUGAGACACGGCCCAGACUCCUACGGGAGGCAGCAGUGGGGAAUCUUGGACAAUGGGGGCAACCCUGAUCCAGCGAUGCCGCGUGGGUGAAGAAGGCCUUCGGGUUGUAAAGCCCUUUAGGCUGGGACGAAGGAUGUGGGACGAAUAAUCCUGCAUUUUGACGGUACCAGCAGAAUAAGCACCAGCAAACUCUGUGCCAGCAGCCGCAGUAA